UACGUAGGGGGCAAGCGUUGUCCGGAUUUAUUGGGCGUAAAGAGCGUGUAGGCGGCCAGGUAGGUGGGUUGUGAAAACUGGAGGCUCAACCUUCAGACGUCGACCCAAACCCCCUGGCUAGAGGUCCGGAAGAGGAGAGUGGAAUUCCUGGUGUAGCGGUGAAAUGCGCAGAUAUCAGGAAGAACACCCGUGGCGAAGGCGGCUCUCUGGGACGGUACUGACGCUGAGACGCGAAAGCGUGGGGAGCGAACAGG
rnacentral:rRNA from 1 species